rnacentral:rRNA from 1 species
UGCGAGGGGGGCAAGCGUUGUUCGGAAUUAUUGGGCGUAAAGGGUGCGUAGGCGGUGCGGUAAGUCUGUUGUGAAAUCUCCGGGCUCAACUCGGAGUCUGCAUCAGAAACUGCCGUGCUGGAGUGUGGGAGAGGUGAGUGGAAUUCCCGGUGUAGCGGUGAAAUGCGUAGAGAUCGGGAGGAACACCUGCGGCGAAAGCGGCUCACUGGACCAUAACUGACGCUGAUGCACGAAAGCUAGGGGAGCAAACAGG